rnacentral:rRNA from 1 species
UACGAAGGGGGCUAGCGUUGUUCGGAAUUACUGGGCGUAAAGCGCGCGCAGGCGGCUAUCCAAGUCAGUGGUGAAAGCCCGGAGCUCAACUCCGGAACUGCCAUUGAAACUGUUUAGCUUGAGGAUGAGAGAGGUGAGUGGAAUUCCCAGUGUAGAGGUGAAAUUCGUAGAUAUUGGGAAGAACACCGGUGGCGAAGGCGGCUCUCUGGGACGGUACUGACGCUGAGACGCGAAAGCGUGGGGAGCGAACAGG